rnacentral:misc_RNA from 1 species
AAGACUAUAGACCUGCGGAGUACCUGCGGAAGGAUCAUUACCGAGUUUUCAACUCCCUAACCCUUCUGUGAACCUACCUAUCGUUGCUUCGGCGGACUCGCCCCAGCCCGGACGCGGACUGGACCAGCGGCCCGCCGGGGACCUCAAACUCUUGUAUUCCAGCAUCUUCUGAAUACGCCGCAAGGCAAAACAAAUGAAUCAAAACUUUUAACAAUGGAUCUCUAGAUCGGAAGAGCACAC